rnacentral:rRNA from 1 species
UACGGAGGUGGCAAGCGUUGUUCGGAAUUACUGGGCGUAAAGGGCGCGUAGGCGGCUUGACAAGUCAGAUGUGAAAGCCCCGGGCUCAACCCGGGAAUUGCAUCUGAAACUGUUUAGCUUGAGUCCUGGAGGGGAUGGUGGAAUUCCCAGUGUAGCGGUGAAAUGCGUAGAUAUUGGGAGGAACACCUGCGGCGAAGGCGGCCAUCUGGACAGUGACUGACGCUGAGGCGCGAAAGCUAGGGGAGCGAACGGG